rnacentral:rRNA from 1 species
AACGAACGCUGGCGGCAGGCCUAACACAUGCAAGUCGAGCGCCCCGCAAGGGGAGCGGCGGACGGGUGAGUAACGCGUGGGAACGUACCCUUUGCUACGGAAUAGCCUCGGGAAACUGGGAGUAAUACCGUAUGUGCCCUUCGGGGGAAAGAUUUAUCGGCAAAGGAUCGGCCCGCGUUGGAUUAGGUAGUUGGUGGGGUAAUGGCCUACCAAGCCGACGAUCCAUAGCUGGUUUGAGAGGAUGAUCAGCCACACUGGGACUGAGACACGGCCCAGACUCCUACGGGAGGCAGCAGUGGGGAAUCUUAGACAAUGGGCGCAAGCCUGAUCUAGCCAUGCCGCGUGAGCGAUGAAGGCCUUAGGGUUGUAAAAGCUCUUUCAGUGGGGAAGAUAAUGACUGUACCCACAGAAGAAGCCCCGGCUAACUCCGUG